rnacentral:rRNA from 1 species
UAGGGAAUUUUGCGCAAUGGGCGAAAGCCUGACGCAGCAACACCGCGUGAGCGAUGAAGCCCCUUGGGGUGUAAAGCUCUGUCAGUUGGGACGAAUUCUGACGGUACCAACAGAGGAAGCAUCGGCUAACUACGUGCCAGCAGCCGCGGUAAGACGUAGGAUGCAAGCGUUGUCCGGAAUUAUUGGGCGUAAAGCGUUCGUAGGCGGUAUGUCAAGUCUGGUGUCAAAGCCUGGAGCUCAACUCCAGUUCGGCAUUGGAUACUGGCAAACUAGAGUGCAGGAGAGGCAAGGGGAAUUCCUAGUGUAGCGGUGAAAUGCGUAGAUAUUAGGAGGAACACCGGUGGCGUAAGCGCCUUGCUGGACUGUUACUGACGCUGAGGAACGAAAGCCAGGGGAGCAA